UACGAAGGGGGCUAGCGUUGCUCGGAAUCACUGGGCGUAAAGGGUGCGUAGGCGGCUUUUUAAGUCAGGGGUGAAAUCCUGGAGCUCAACUCCAGAACUGCCUUUGAUACUGGCGACCUUGAGUCCGGGAGAGGUGAGUGGAACUGCGAGUGUAGAGGUGAAAUUCGUAGAUAUUCGCAAGAACACCAGUGGCGAAGGCGGCUCACUGGCCCGGUACUGACGCUGAGGUGCGAAAGCGUGGGGAGCAAACAGG
rnacentral:rRNA from 1 species